CUACGGGGGGCUCCAGUGGGGAAUAUUGCACAAUGGAGGAAACUCUGAUGCAGCAACGCCGCGUGGAGGAUGACACUUUUCGGAGCGUAAACUCCUUUUAUAUAGGAAGAAGAUGACGGUACUAUAUGAAUAAGCGCCGGCUAACUCCGUGCCAGCAGCCGCGGUAAUACGGAGGGCGCAAGCGUUACUCGGAAUCACUGGGCGUAAAGAGCGUGUAGGCGGAUUAAAAAGUCAGAAGUGAAAUCCUAUAGCUUAACUAUAGAACUGCUUCUGAAACUCUUAAUCUAGAAUAUGGGAGAGGUAGAUGGAAUUUCUGGUGUAGGGGUAAAAUCCGUAGAGAUCAGAAGGAAUACCGAUUGCGAAGGCGAUCUACUAGAACAUUAUUGACGCUGAGACGCGAAGGCGUGGGGAGCAAACAGGAUUAGAUACCCUAGUAGUC
rnacentral:rRNA from 1 species